rnacentral:lncRNA from 1 species
GGCAUGUGUAUGAGACGAAAAAAUUGUGCCUUAAAAACUACAUGUAUCACAAAUUUGUACCGAUUGUUGCUCUUCCUCACAUAUCACCAGGUUUCACCAAAAUAACUUUCCAUCCUUGCAAGCACUCCUUGGUACUCUCCUAACACGGCAGCAUGCUUGUAGAUGAUCAGAAAUAAUAAAUAUAUUAGUUUAGAGCUUUGGUUCAUGGGUGCUAAUCCAAGUAAAUUGACUAAUAAAAAACUAUGUUUCUUAUUUAGGGCAUAUUAAAAACGAAAUCUUAAUUUGAACAUUUAAAAAAAGUCUGGAUUUCUAGCGUUAUACUGUACUUUUGGCCAGUUCAUAUGCUGAUUCUAGAAAACUAUGAGGUGAUAUUUUUCAAUCUUCAAAUCCAAAUGCAGAAAUAAAAUUAUAUGCAUAGUACAUGUGUGUUCCAUCCACCCAUGCAUAUAUAAUAAUAUUAGCAUUGAGUUUUGAAAAAGAACAAUGACAUAAACCAUAAGGAGAACAUCUUGUUGAUCUUUUUGUGCCGUAUCCAAAUAAGAAAUAUUCUGCAAACAAUAUUAGCUUACUGUUACUGUCAGCCAUAUGCUUCUAUGUCUAAUGCAUCGGACUCUGAUUCUAAGCCUUUUAUCGUUGACAGGGAGGUUACAUUGUUCAAAUUUGUAUCAGGUUAUCUCUUUUCAGUAGUAAGCACAUGGUGAGCAUCUCCAAUAAGCCAGCCGUAGUCCAAUCAAUGACCAAAUCAGGGGAUAAUUUUAGUCAACUACUUUUCACCAGUCAACAGAGCUUGCUUGUCAUUUUUUCAAACCAAUGCAAAAAGAAAUAGGCCAAACUGCACCGGAGGAGCAAUACACUACUAACUAAACGUAAAAAAGAUGCAAACCAAGGGGACUUCAAUCCGUAAUAAGCUCUGCAUUGAAUAACAACAUAUACCUUUUCCUCAACAGACAACACACCAGAUUCGCCUCUACUUCAGUGGUGUGCACAUUGAGGUGGAUGGGAGGAGCACCAGCAAUGCCCGGCAAAGUAGGGAGGAAGCUGCCUGCUCCAUAUACGAUGGACAUGGCGUCAAGUAAUAUUGUUGGAGGAUAAUAUGAGAGGAACGAAGAGCAAAGUGGCAACACCUUUGAUCUGCACAAAGAGGCCUAUAUGUGAAAUAUAAAUUAUGUUAACGUACUUGCUCUUUAAUGAUGGAAAACAGAAAGUGACUGAAACUCUCAAAGUCUUCAACUACAUAUGCUAUAUAUAUGGAAAAAAAAAUGUUCCAUUACUGAACGUUAUAACAAACCAAGGCGUGCACAAAAAGGAAAACCUCUACCCGUCUCUCUGCUAACAAAAAGAAGCUAAACCAUGUUUCCAUCUCUGCUAGUUUGAUGAUCGAACCUGUAAAAGGAGGCCCAGUCACAGACCCGCCCUCCACCAGAAGUAACAUGGUCUUGCUGAAAUCAGCCAACUUGCAAAUUGAUUCUGGUACUAUUAAUUAAUCCCCAAUUGUACGUACACUGAUUACAUUAAGCAGGACAUUGCUCUUGCAAUGGAAGGACUCUUCUAAUCCCAUUCUGAGUACUACCACGGCUAGGUAGCACAUUAAUUUGAUCCUAACUUACUCAAUCUCACAUGGAAAUCUGGAUUAGCGAGCCACUACUCUUCCAAUCCCAUUCUGAGUACGGGAUUAGUGAGCGACUCCUUCGGCAAUGCGUCACCUGUGCCUUCUCAAGUGUCAAGAGUCGCCAUGGAAACUUGACAAAAAAUCUCCAAAGGGGAUCCACCACCGGUGCACCAGCUUGUUGCCAGCUCCAAUCACCCCCUGAUUAGCUCAUCCCCUUGUUUAUACCUACGAACCGCCUGCAGCUGCAUAUGAAUCAAAGAGCUGCAGGUUGGCACGCUUCAGCCAUCUAGAGCUGAAUCGGAGGCGACGCUUAUGAUCUAGAGUACGUUGUAUACUUGCAGUACGACAUAGGGCAGAAGGUACUUGUAGUAUGUGCUGAUCGAUGGAGUGGUGGCCUCGUGUACGGCUCAACGAACCGAGGUUGUAGCCGUCUUGUUCUUCGAUCCACCUGCCAUGAAGAGAGGCUCUCGUUAUCCUGUUCUUCGAUCCACCUACUCUAGAUUUAUGAAGGAAGGAUAUCGGCCAUGGAUUGAAGACACCUAGGGCCUAGCCGCCUAGGGCAUGAUGGAGAGGGCCGGUGAAGAUAAAGAUGUCACAUUUUUU